rnacentral:tRNA from 1 species
AUUUAUAUAGUUUAACUAAAACAUUACAUUUUCACUGUAAAAAUAAUAUUAUUUUUAUUUAUAAAUA